GCCGGUUCCUGACAGCCUGCUCAAGUCAGAAGCCUUGCGGGAAAGCAGAGAGCUCCCUAAACAGAUACAAAAGCUCUUAUUUUAUUACCGAAAUAUCUUUUCUGAAAGGCAGCGCUGAACUCCAACAGGCAGACAAGCUUGGGAACAAUCCUCAAGAAAAAUGCCUGACUCAACGCAAGGAUUCUCUAGUCAUUGGCUCCCUUCCUUCAAUCUUGCUGAUUGAGUCACAUUGGCUUGGAUGUGUUAGGAGGAGGCCCAGGACCCGGUCUCAUGCCAAGCUCCGUGCUGAUCACCACCUCCUCCUGAAAUGCUCUGCUUCCUUGCCCCUGUUCUUCUUUUUUGUGUCUAAAGUCCUCCUUUGCCUUGAGGAACAAGCUCAGAAUAUUUUGUAGGACCAGGGAAUGAAACAGCUGAAACCGCCUGGGACUAGCUGGGACAGCCAGAAAGACCCUCCAGUGACCUCUUCACAAACUUUCCUCAUUAUAUCCUCAUUAUAAUACUAAAAUCUCCACCCGGGGUUGGGUGGGGGGCACCAUUUUUGAACGGGUGGUGUAUGUACAGCCAUGUUUCCUGACUGUGCGUGCGCUGAAGUGUUGCCACCUAAGCAUGCAAUGACGAAGUCUUCCUUGAUAUUUAUGCAUGAUUUCCCCUAAUAAAGAUGAAUUGGAUGCUCUGUUCAAGGACAAACUGCUCUGGGAAUGAUCCCCACUGUGUCCUUGCUUGCUGGUUCCCAAUAAAGUUCCUUCUCAUAAAAUCAUCUCAGAGUUGUCUUUUGGCCAACAACUACUAAGGAUUUGGACCCCAUUUGGUCUGGUAACAAUUCUAUUUAUAUAAAAUGUCCAGAAUAGGCAAAUCCAUAGAAACAGAAAAUAGAAUUGUGCUUGCCAAGGGCUAGGAGGAAUGGGAGUGACUGCUAAUGGGUACUGUUAUGGCACAAACG